UACAGAGGUCCCAAGCGUUGUUCGGAUUCACUGGGCGUAAAGGGUGCGUAGGCGGUUUGACAAGUCUGAUGUGAAAUCCCGCAGCUUAACUGCGGAACUGCAUUGGAAACUGUCUGACUAGAGGAAUGGAGGGGAGACUGGAAUACUUGGUGUAGCAGUGAAAUGCGUAGAUAUCAAGUGGAACACCAGUGGCGAAGGCGAGUCUCUGGACAUUUCCUGACGCUGAGGCACGAAAGCCAGGGGAGCAAACGGG
rnacentral:rRNA from 1 species